GUUGCAUCAGGUGAGCGCCGCGGGGAGAGGAGUUUGUCAGGACGGCGGGACUUUACUAUCAUCUACUGGCGAAAAGCUUGAACAGCAUGUUGCAGCACAGCCACCUGGGAAAUGGAGACAGAGCUUUUUUUCCCCCUUUACAGGCCAUGAGACACACAUGUUUAACCCGACCCAGGAAGCCAGUGGGAAGGCAUGUGUGUCCUAGCUAGCAUACACAGGUCCGUCUGAGACCACCAGAGAGGAGGGAUGCGUCUGUCGCUGAGGUGGACGUAUUUUUCCCAGAGUCCUCUGUGCACGGCGUUGCUGAGAUCAGUUCAACGGAGCACCUGGCCCGCUCUCCCUGGGCACCCGGGCAGCAGCUGUCAGAAUACACUCGGCUUUGUGUUGUUAUACGGGAGAAGAGGAGACCGGGGAGCGUGUGAAUCUCGUCGGAUGGGACGUCACCACUCCCGGGUUUGACGUGAAUCAGAUAGCCUUUUUGGCAUGAUUCAGCAGUCUGUGUGUGCGUGAAUGAAUGUGCAUGUGUUUGAACUGUUACGGACAAAACACACCACCACUUGGGCUUUAGAUCAAAUAUCUUCUCUCUUGUGCCUCUAUAAUGCAUUGUGUAAGACGGUUUACACUAAGGCAACACCAAAGUCUUGCAGUCAAUGUUAUUUUAACAGGAUUACACAGCAGAUGAUCUGAUCUGAUCUGAAUUGUUGCUCUUGUUAAUACAAAACAGAAUCUCUCUUGUCAUGUUAUUGGCUCCUACAAAGCAUUCCAAGUCUCGGCAGUAUAGAUUGCUAACAAGAUUACAAUUUGUAGGAGGCUCUUUUUUAAAAAUUUUGCGAUGCUACAAUUACUUUCAUGCAGUCAUAUUUUUUACAUAUAAUCCUCUUAAGUGAGGAACUCUUUUAAAUAAUGUUCUGACAAAAACAGUCGUGAGCAUCUAUGGUAAAACUAAAAACCAGCCCACAUUGCACCAUUUUGUUUACUGUGAUCCCUUUCAAAAUACGUAAAACCUCAUUGUUUUCCCAUCACACCUUCCAUUGGGGAAAAUUGUGUCUGGACAUUAUCCGGAGUUUGCCAUUCACAUAUGUAAAAAGCAGCUGGAGAUUGUCCAGGUCCGUUGUGUUCACGACAGCAGGACAAUUUCCGGAACAGUUAGUCGAGGGGCGUCGCUUUGGUAGAUUCUCGUGAAUCAUCUAGAGAUUUUCCUGCUUUGUACCCGCAUGGGCUCACUCUGACAUUUUAUUAGGGGGCUGGCAGGAAAACUUUCAGAAAAAUUUCCAAUGCAUUCCUACAUGCAGCAACUCUGGAAAAAUUCUGGAAAACGUUCAUGUCUGUGCGUGUAUGUCUGAAAUCAGCUCAAGUUAAAGAAAAAGGUCAAAUGAGAAACUUUUUGGGGUUUCAGAUUUCGAAUUCCUCUAAGCCAGUGACAAUGACGAGCUGAGACUGACGACAGACCAAGUGUCAGUGCCUCUGACCUGUCAUUCAUUUUGGUUGAUGCCCCUCGCCCCCAGGAAGCACUGACAAGAAGGGAUGGUGUGGCUGUUUUUCUGACCUCCUGCACACCCACUCCCGCUGACCACCCUGAAACGCUGACUUUUCUUAUGUUUGCUGUGAUGCUACCCCACCCGUGCCCUUCCCUCUUGACAGGAUGUCCAUGAAAGAUUCGGUCUUGCCCCCCACCCCCACCUGUUUUCACACCCAGCAAGCUGAAGAGACUCCUUUUCAUACUGUUGCUGUGCAUUUGAAGUGUCUAGUUGCCGAAACUCAUGCACUUGAGUCAGCCUGUGGUUUGCGCCUUUGAUAGCUGCAAUGCUAUUUUGGACUUGCUCACAUAGCUAUGGGUCAGAAUGCACCAACUUUAUGCCAAUUCAUUUUCCAGCUGUAUAGACAUGUAGAAUAGGAGUGGCUCUGUAAAGCUGUGGAUCUCCUCCUCAUACUGACAUAACAAUUUGUUUCCACUUGACCUGGUGUACAGUUUUUCUUAAUUGCAUCUUAUACUGAGGCAAUGAAAGAAGCAUUCACCUGCUGUGCUCCACAGUAUAUCAGCAGUUAGUCACGACUGUCAGAUAGAGAUGUUUUAGUUGCAUCGGGUGCAAUCAAAUUACAGUGGUGUGGAUAAUUUUCUAAUCUAAAAUGAAGAGCCACUAACACUGAAGACAGACUCUUGGCCAGAUUUCUUGGAUCUGCAAUUUCCAGCAUCCCCAAGCUUUUCAGCUUUUACUCAGUCAAGAAGUAACAAAAAUAUUUUUUCUAUGCAAAUAUGAAAAGAAGUUUGACUCUAUUUAUUAGGUCAAUCUUAUUCGCAGCAUCAAUGUGAACUUGCUAGGGAGCGGAACACAGUAGCAGGAAGGGGUUAGUGCUCCGACAAAAUGCUGUCACUUUGAUCAUUUUCUUCUGGUCUUUCAUCUCGGCUCUCUUGAAAGGGCCGAUAAUCAUGUUUAAUUGAUUAUGUAGAAUGAACAAGCUUGGUUUGCUCUCAUAUCAUUCAACACCCCCUUUUUUGUGUGUGCUCUAUCCAAAAGAAGAUCGCUUGCAUGCCGUAUCGCCCCUUCCCUUUCUUCUUCUAAAACAAAUAAAGACGUCAAACAUCAAAGCUGUUCUUGGUUAAUAAAAGAAGACCUCAAAUAUU